rnacentral:lncRNA from 1 species
AUGAUUGACUUUAUUCCUCAAACUGUUAAGAACUCCCCUUCCAGACCCUUAAGAGACCUGAAGAGGCCACCUCUCUACCCUCUUGGCACUGCUUCACUUGACCGGCCCAACCCUGGCCCCACUCUCCAGCUGAGCCUGGGGUUAACCACAGCGCAGUUGCCCCGUCCCCCCAAAGAUUAUCUCCCUUUCCUCCCACCCAGCCUCGGCACCAUCCAAGGAGCGACACCAGGACUGGACCCAGAAGCCAGAGAUGGGCUGACACAGGAGCACAAAGGCCUGUGCUCCAUGGGGGUGCGUUCAGUUCCACGGACACAGGAAAGACUGGCACCGUGUGUGCCAGAGGCCGUGAGCCGUGCCCUCAGAGACGGUGAAAUCAUAAGUUGUACUGAAAACUGGAGAGGACAAGGACAGCUGAAGACGCCUCCUGAUCUAGUCUGUGUGUCCAUUACCAGCAAUAAAAACUUAAAAUAUCGCCUAAGUCCUGAGUUAGUGAAGAGCAAGGGCCAGGCUGUGUCAGGAGCUGUAACAGCCGCCAGGAAACAACACGUGUUUCCACACCAUCAGCAGAUGGAUGUGCAAGAAAGGACACCGUGCUUACAUGUGUCUUCCAGGAUGAGUGGGUCCCCUUCUCUUCCCAUGAAAGUGCAACUGCUUUCAUGGAAGAUCACAGGGUGUCUCCCCAGCAAUGAGAAACAGCUGUGUUCCCAAUAACACAGACUACAAACCCUAAAGGCAAAGCGGAGGCUCCUUCCUGGAGGUGUCAGCCUGAGACACAGGCUUCAGUGGAUGCAUGUCCACAGGCCUCUAAAUGGGCACAUUCCUUUAAAACCUGCUUUGCUUCAUUUUGCUUCACAUUAUCCCCCCAAAGAGGAUGUGGCCCCAUGUUUGUGAUCCCACCAAAUCUGCCCUAUAUCAGGGCUGUCCAUUCACUUUCUUAAUUUUGAAUAGAAAGGAACUAGGAGAGAAAGAAGGGCUGACACGACAUCAAUCAAGGCUGGUCUGGGAAGCUUUUGGAUGUCACAGAGGUUACCGGAUUGGAUGGGUAAAAAAGAAUAACAAUGCUAAUGAAGGAGACAGGUUUAAUCACAGAUUUUGUAAUUAUUUGUGGGUGUGAGCCCUCACAAUUGAGGGAGUUGUAAAAUAAGCUUUGCAAAAAUUUCUUCAAAAAGUAAUAUAGUG